rnacentral:rRNA from 1 species
UACGUAGGGUGCAAGCGUUGUCCGGAAUUAUUGGGCGUAAAGAGCUUGUAGGCGGUUUGUCGCGUCUGCUGUGAAAUUUCGGGGCUCAACCCCGAACUUGCAGUGGGUACGGGCAGACUAGAGUGUGGUAGGGGAGACUGGAAUUCCUGGUGUAGCGGUGAAAUGCGCAGAUAUCAGGAGGAACACCGAUGGCGAAGGCAGGUCUCUGGGCCACUACUGACGCUGAGAAGCGGAAGCAUGGGGAGCGAACAGG